CCCUUAGAUGUUCUGGGCCGCACGCGCGCUACACUGAUGCAUUCAACGAGUCUAAAACCUGCCCUGAUAGGGGUGGGUAAUCUUUUGAAUGUGCAUCGUGAUUGGGAUAGAUGAUUGCAAUUUUUCAUCUUCAACGAGGAAUGCCUAGUAAACGCAAGUCAUCAGCUUGCAUUGAUUACGUCCCUGCCCUUUGUACACACCGCCCGUCGCUCCUACCGAUUGAAUGAUCCGAUGAAUAUCAUGGAUUGAGGAUGCAAGUAGGUUAGCCUAUCUUCAUCUUCGAGAAGUGAAGUAAAUCUUAUCAUUUAGAGGAAGGAGAAGUCGUAACA
rnacentral:rRNA from 1 species